CAGCAGCAGCCGCGGGAAUACAGAGGGUGCGAGCGUUAAUCGGAUUUACUGGGCGUAAAGCGUGCGUAGGCGGCUAAUUGAGUCGGAUGUGAAAUCCCCGAGCUUAACUUGGGAAUUGCAUUCGAUACUGGUUAGCUAGAGUGUGGGAGAGGAUGGUAGAAUUCCAGGUGUAGCGGUGAAAUGCGUAGAGAUCUGGAGGAAUACCGAUGGCGAAGGCAGCCAUCUGGCCUAACACUGACGCUGAGGUACGAAAGCAUGGGGAGCAAACAGGAUUAGAUACCCGCGUAGUCCCUGUCUCUUAUAC
rnacentral:rRNA from 1 species